rnacentral:lncRNA from 1 species
AUCGCUAUGUCUCCAAGGCCUCUCCACACCUCGAUGGGGAUACCAUCAGGACCCAUCGCGUUGCCUACUUUCAUCCUUUUUAACGCCUCCUUAACCUCACACUCCUGGAUACGUCGCACAAAGCACAUGCUAGUAUCAUCAAAGGAGUCGUCUAGCUCAAUGGUAGAGCUAUCAACCUCUCCAUUGUAAAGGUUGUCAAAGUACUCCCGCCAUCUACGC